UUUUAUUAUUUUUUAAAAUUAAUUAGAAGUUGAAAGUUGGAUAACUUAAUAUAUCUAAGAAUUUAAAAAGUUGGUAAUAUGAAAGUGAUAUAUUUUAAAUAAAAGAAAAUAAAAAGUCAUCUUAGAAUAUGAAAUAUUAUUUUAGAGUCUAUAUAAAGGGUCGUACUUAUAUUCAUUUUGGAUGAAUAAGAAAUGAUAUACUAAAUACUGUUUACUUUGUCUCAAAAGAAUUAACUGCAUCUGUCUGUAACGAUUAACUAUAUUUAAAAGGUUAUUCUUUGAUUUGAAUUUGAUGCUUUAUUUAUUUACUCAAAUUUUUCUAUCAUAUAGUAUAUUUUAAAUUACGUGGGAUUCGACUCUUCCAAUUUAACGUGAAUUUUUUUAGAAUUCCUAUAUUUUUUUUAAUAUUUGUUUUUAGUAUUUUGAUUACUAUGUUAUAAAUUUUUUAUAUUUAUUUUUGUUUACAAGUCAUAAUAUCUCCAUGUUAAUUGUGUUGGAAAUUUUGAUGGAUUUGUUUAUAUUAGGGUUUAGAAUUUUUAAAAUGAUUAAUUAUGAUGCAGCCUAACGCCAUACUUAAUGCAAUCUAGUGAAUAAGUUGGAAUUUGUUUACUAAAUAUAUUUUAUAUUGUUUCUAAUUAAACCUAUACGUCACUAACUAUAUAAUAAGGUAUCUAUAUAAAGUUAUCGGAAAUAGAUAUGAUUUGAUACCUAUCGUGACGUUUCAGUGUAAAAAAUUGAAAUGUUAAAAAAAGAUCUUCAUACUUUUCAAUAAACUUUAAAAUUACUAAAAUUGUUAAAGCAAAUAUAUUCUACUCUUUACAAAAUAACUUAUAGAAAUAUAAGGAUCCAAAUUUAGAAUUUAAAUUUUAAAAGAUUAUAAUAUAUCUGCCUGUAGUAUCUUUGGUUUUUGGGUUGCUUGUGGAUCUCAGCAUCUGAGGCUUGGCGACACAUCUGGAGAGUGUUGGGACAAGUCGGAGUCGUUUUGGCGUGAAACGGAUGCAAAACGGACUCGACGCGAGGCGAGAGUGGAGUUCUGACGCUGAAAUCCGCAAAGUGCAGGAUUCCAUUAUUGAGUAUCCGUAUGGCAUUGGGAUGGUACCGGUACCCUGUGUGCGAGCUUGCGGGCUGAGAGGCCAAGUACCGGUAAUCAAAUCGGGUACCGGUACUCCAGUUGUCAUGUUGAGUUGGUAAGGGUAUUACGGUCAUUUUGUG
rnacentral:lncRNA from 1 species